UGGGGUGUUAGAUAGGACAUUAUAAAAAAAUGUGUGAUAGAUACAAUAGAACAAUUAUUACAAAGAUAUGAUGUCUGUAUGUAUUAUAUAGUUGAUUGUGUAUGACUGGGAUGUCCCAAAUGCCUGACUAGGGUGCUAUGAGGGCAUGACUGGGGUGUUAGUUGAAGACAUUAUCAAUGAAGGUGUGAUCGAUACAAUAGAACAAUUAUUACAAAGAUAUGAUGUCUGUAUGUAUUAUAUAGUUGAUUGUGUAUGACUGGGAUGUCCCAAAUGCCUGAUUAGGGUGUUACAAGGGCAUGACUGGGGUGUUAGAUGAAGACAUUAUAAAUGAAGGUGUGAUAGAUACAAUAGAACAAUUAUUACAAAGAUAUGAUGUCUGUAUGUAUUAUAUAGUUGAUUGUGUAUGACUGGGAUGUCCCAAAUGCCUGAUUAGGGUGUAACAAGGGCAUGACUGGGGUGUUAGAUGAAGACAUUAUAAAUGAAGGUGUGAUAGAUACAAUAGAACAAUUAUUACAAAGAUAUGAUGUCUGUAUGUAUUAUAUAGUUGAUUGUGUACGACUAGGAUGUCACAAAUGCCUGACUAGGGUGUUAAAAGGGCAUGAGUGGGGUGUUAGAUAGGACAUUAUAAAAAAAAUGUGUGAUAGAUACAAUAGAACAAUUAUUACAAAGAUAUGAUGUCUGUAUGUAUUAUAUAGUUGAUUGUGUAUGACUGGGAUGUCCCAAAUGCCUGACUAGGGUGCUAUGAGGGCAUGACUGGGGUGUUAGAUGAAGACAUUAUAAAUGAAGGUGUGAUCGAUACAAUAGAACAAUUAUUACAAAGAUAUGAUGUCUGUAUGUAUUAUAUAGUUGAUUGUGUACGACUAGAAGUCACAAAUGCCUGACUAGGGUGUAAAAAGGGCAUGAGUGGGGUGUUAGAUAGGACAUUAUAAAAAAAAAUGUGUGAUAGAUACAAUAGAACAAUUAUUACAACGAU
rnacentral:lncRNA from 1 species